rnacentral:rRNA from 1 species
UGUAGGCGGCUUGGUAAGUCUGGUGUGAAAUCUUGGGGCUCAACCCCAAGCCUGCACUGGAUACUGCCUCGCUAGAGUCCGGGAGAGGAGAGUGGAAUUCCCAGUGUAGCGGUGAAAUGCGCAGAUAUUGGGAAGAACACCGGUGGCGAAGGCGGCUCUCUGGAACGGUACUGACGCUGAGACGCGAAAGCGUGGGGAGCGAACA